UCACCAAUCCAGCCCGGCUGGGUGUUGGGCGCUGCGGCCUUGCCGCCCGCCUCAAUGUCGCCGGCCACGCCGUCCGUCCCCUCGCGUUGUGGCAUCUGUCUCGCGUCGGUGGCCGGUCGGAGUGCGCCGUCCAACCUCUUUCUCA
rnacentral:misc_RNA from 1 species